AUUGAACGCUGGCGGCAGGCCUAACACAUGCAAGUCGAACGGUAGCAGGAAGCAGCUUGCUGCUUUGCUGACGAGUGGCGGACGGGUGAGUAAUGUCUGGGAAACUGCCCGAUGGAGGGGGAUAACUACUGGAAACGGUAGCUAAUACCGCAUAACGUCGCAAGACCAAAGAGGGGGACCUUAGGGCCUCUUGCCAUCGGAUGUGCCCAGAUGGGAUUAGCUAGUAGGUGGGGUAACGGCUCACCUAGGCGACGAUCCCUAGCUGGUCUGAGAGGAUGACCAGCCACACUGGAACUGAGACACGGUCCAGACUCCUACGGGAGGCAGCAGUGGGGAAUAUUGCACAAUGGGCGCAAGCCUGAUGCAGCCAUGCCGCGUGUAUGAAGAAGGCCUUCGGGUUGCAAAGUACUUUCAGCGGGGAGGAAGGGAGUAAAGUUAAUACCUUUGCUCAUUGACGUUACCCGCAGAAGAAGCACCGGCUAACUCCGU
rnacentral:rRNA from 1 species